rnacentral:rRNA from 1 species
ACCCGCUGAACUUAAGCAUAUCAAUAAGCGGAGGAAAAGAAACCAACAGGGAUUGCCCUAGUAACGGCGAGUGAAGCGGCAACAGCUCAAAUUUGAAAUCUGGCUCUUUUAGAGCCCGAGUUGUAAUUUGCAGAGGGCGCUUUGGCUUUGGCAGCGGUCCAAGUUCCUUGGAACAGGACGUCACAGAGGGUGAGAAUCCCGUACGUGGUCGCUGGCUAUUGCCGUGUAAAGCCCCUUCGACGAGUCGAGUUGUUUGGGAAUGCAGCUCUAAAUGGGAGGUACAUUUCUUCUAAAGCUAAAUAUUGGCCAGAGACCGAUAGCGCACAAGUAGAGUGAUCGAAAGAUGAAAAGCACUUUGGAAAGAGAGUCAAACAGCACGUGAAAUUGUUGAAAGGGAAGCGCUUGCAGCCAGACUUGCUUACAGUUGCUCAUCCGGGCUUUUGCCCGGUGCACUCUUCUGUAGGCAGGCCAGCAUCAGUUUGGGCGGUAGGAUAAAGGUCUCUGUCGCGUACCUCUCUUCGGGGAGGCCUUAUAGGGGAGACGACAUACUACCAGCCUGGACUGAGGUCCGCGCAUCUGCUAGGAUGCUGGCGUAAUGGCUGU